rnacentral:rRNA from 1 species
AUUGAACGCUGGCGGCAGGCCUAACACAUGCAAGUCGAGCGGAUGAAGGGAGCUCUCUCCUGUCUUCAGUUGCGGACGGGCGAGUAAUUCCUACGAAUCUGCCCUGUAGAUGGGGCUAACGUCCGGUCACGGGCGCUAAUAUCACAUACGUCCAUAUGUUGAACGUCGUGGUUCUUCGGUCCUCACGCUAUUAGCUGAGCCUAGGUGGGAUUAGCUAGUUGGUUGGGUAAAGGCCUACCAAGGCGACGAUCCGUAACUGGUCUGAGAGGAUGAUCAGUCACACUGGAACUGAGACACGGUCCAGACUCCUACGGGAGGCAGCAGUAGGGAAUAUUGGGCAAUGGGCGAAAGCCUGAUCCAGCCAUGCCGCGUGUGUGAAGAAGGUCUUCGGAUUGUAAAACUCUGUUAGUUGGGAAGAAGAGCAGUGAGUUAAUACCUUGCUGUUUUGACGUUACCAAAAGAGAAAGCAACGGCUAACUUCGUG